GACGAACGCUGGCGGCGUGCUUAAUACAUGCAAGUCAACGACUUUUGAAGUAGCAAUAUUUCAGGGGGAGUGGCGCACGGGUGAGUAACACGUAGGCAAUCUACCUUUAGGACUGACACAACUCGUCGAAAGACGGGCUAAUAUCAGAUAAUGCAGCGGCUCCGCAUGGAGACAGUUGUUAAAGUACAAGCGCCUAAAGAUGAGCCUGCGGUCCAUUAGGUAGUUGGUAGAGUAAUAGCCUACCAAGCCAACGAUGGAUAGCUGGUCUGAGAGGAUGAUCAGCCACACUGGAACUGAGACACGGUCCAGACUCCUACGGGUGGCUG
rnacentral:rRNA from 1 species